AGGGCCUUGGGUGUCUCCGUGACUGACUACACGUUCGAGGACUGCCAGCUGGCCCUGGCGGAAGGACAGCUCCGUCUCCCCGCUGACACUUGCCUUUUAGAAUUUGCCAGGCUCGUGCGGGGCCUCGGGCUAAAACCAGAAAAGCUUGAAAAAGAUCUGGACAGAUACUCAGAAAGAGCCAGGAUGAAGGGAGGAGAGAAGAUAAGUAUUGCGGAGUUUGCUGCCUCCCUGGAAGUCCCCGUCUCUGACUUGCUGGAAGACAUGUUUUCACUGUUCGACGAGGUAGGGCCUGUCGCCUGCGGAGCGGGGUGUCGGCAAAACUUCCUGCUUUUUGAAGCAUAAAUUCUUCUCAUUCUAAUAUAAAUAUAUUUUCACACAAAUUUGAAAGCA
rnacentral:lncRNA from 1 species